rnacentral:rRNA from 1 species
AUACGGGGGGUGCAAGCGUUAAUCGGAAUUACUGGGCGUAAAGCGCGCGUAGGCGGUUUGCUCAGUCGGAUGUGAAAGCCCAGGGCUCAACCUUGGAACUGCAUACGAUACUGGCAAACUAGAGUGUGAGAGAGGAUAGUGGAAUUUCCGGUGUAGCGGUGAAAUGCGUAGAUAUCGGAAGGAACAUCAGUGGCGAAGGCGACUGUUUGGCUCAACUCUGACGCUGAGGUGCGAAAGCGUGGGUAGCAAACAGGAUUAGAAACCCUAGUAGUCC